rnacentral:rRNA from 1 species
UUUAACGGCUGCGGUAUUUUGACCGUGCGAAGGUAGCGCAAUCACUUGUCUUUUAAAUGAAGACCUGUAUGAAUGGCACGACGAGGGCUUAACUGUCUCCUUUUUCCAGUCAAUGAAAUUGAUCUUCCCGUGCAGAAGCGGGAAUAAUAUCAUAAGACGAGAAGACCCUGUGGAGCUUUAGACACUAAAUCAGCCCUUGUCCAAAAUCCCAAUUAAAGGAAUGAACACUAGAGUGAGACCUGAUCUAAUGUCUUCGGUUGGGGCGACCUUGGGGAAAGAAAAAUCCCCCAUGCGGAACGGAAAUACUAUGUUUCCAAAACUAAGAGACACCACUCAAAGUAUCAAAAAUUUUGACCAACUAUAUGAUCCGGCUUAACGCCGAUCAACGGACCGAGUUACCCCAGGGAUAACAGCGCAAUCCUCUUUUAGAGCCCAUAUCGACAAGAGGGUUUACGACCUCGAUGUUGGAUCAGGACAUCCUAA